rnacentral:lncRNA from 1 species
UCUAUACUAAGUACGUGCUACUGCAGAUGAAUGCUUCUAACAGUCACUUUGAGAAAAGAGUAGCCUGACCUUGGAAAAAGGCUCUAAUCUAGUGUCUUCAUAGAGAUGAGGAAGCAGCUUUGACAAGUGGAAGUUAAGCCCUGGAUGGUCCCGGACUAUCUAGCCAUUGCUUAAUCUUCUUAAUAUGAAUUCAGGACUCAAGAAAAGAGGUAGCAGUUGAGGGGGCCAGAGACAGCUAUGAGCCAUACAGGGCCGUCUGAUAGAGCCACAUUUUGCAACAGCUGUUUAGGAGUGAGAAGGUAAUCUGCUGAAGACAAGUUUGUUGAUUAUUUUAGCCCAUGCAAUAUGCACAGCAUAGAACUGCUUUUAUUUGCUUUGCAAGUUGAACGUUUCAAAUCAGUAUGAAAUGUAAACUUUGGACUUUCAUUUCCAGCUGUUCAGGCAAAAAUUCAUGUUUGUUGUCC